CCUACGGGAGGCUGCAGUCGAGAAUCAUUCACAAUGGGGGAAACCCUGAUGGUGCGACGCCGCGUGGGGGAAUGAAGGUCUUCGGAUUGUAAACCCCUGUCAUGUGGGAGCAAAUUAAAAAGAUAGUACCACAAGAGGAAGAGACGGCUAACGCUGUGCCAGCAGCCGCGGUCAUACAGAGGUCUCAAGCGUUGUUCGGAAUCACUGGGCGUAAAGCGUGCGUAGGCUGUUUCGUAAGUCGUGUGUGAAAGGCGCGGGCUCAACCGGCGGACGGCACAUGAGACUGCGAGACUAGAGUAAUGGAGGGGGAACCGGAAUUCUCGGUGUAGCAGUGAAAUGCGUAGAUAUCGAGAGGAACACUCGUGGCGAAGGCGGGUUCCUGGACAUUAACUGACGCUGAGGCACGAAGGCCAGGGGAGCGAAAGGGAUUAGAUACCCCAGUAGUC
rnacentral:rRNA from 1 species